CAGGUACCUCAUGAGUCCAGGUCUACUUGUAUAUUUGGGUCUGAUGCUGUUAAUACAUGCAAUGGUGUCUUCUGAAUGUAUUAGGUUAUUGGCAGCAAUUAUCAGAGAAAGUUGCUUGAAGUAAUUGAUGAAAGUGAACUACCGAAUUUCUUUUGGUGGUUGCUGUACCUGUGCAAUUGAAGGGGACUGCAUAAGGUCUGAUAAAGGACCAUGGAAUAACCAAAAUUUAUUGAAGAUGACUCCGGGUACAGAAGUGCAUCUUGUGCAGACAGCAUCAAUUUCAGAUAAUGAUGCAACUUAGUUGUCAUGGUUGAUAUUUUGUUGCGUCGUCGGAUGUAUCAUGCUGGGAAGUAUACAGUGACGAGCAACUGGAUGCACUGCGCUGGAAAAUCCGAGUGUCUUCCUGAUCACUUCGUUGCAAGUAAUAGACAUAUAUAUUGAUAGUUAGGAAUUUCCCUGAAUUGUUAAGAAUGAGGGAAUGUGCCAUUAUUGCAAUUCGGGAUCUAUUUAAUUUUAUCUUUCAGUUACUAUGAUUAUGUAUCAAAUUGUAUGAUUCAUUGAUGGGGUGAAAUGUGUGUGCUACCUUUGCUUUGCAUU